rnacentral:rRNA from 1 species
AACGAACGCUGGCGGCGUGCCUAAUACAUGCAAGUAGGACGCAGUUGCGAAAGGGUUAUUAACGCGUAGGUAACUACAUAUUAGAGUGGGAUAACUAUUGGAAACGAUAUCUAAUACCGCAUACUUGUAGAUUGACCUGCGUUGUAUUAGCUAGUAGGUAGGUUAAUGGCCUCCCUAGGCAACGAUACAUAUCCGACCGGGGGGGGGGAGCGGCCACACUGGGAAUGAUGAAAGGGCCAGACUCCUACGGGAGGGAGCAGUAGGGAAUCUUUGGCAAUUGGGGGAAAGCUGACCGCGCAAAGCCGCGGUAGUGAAGAAGGUUGUCGGAUCGUAAAGCUAUGUUGUUAAGGAAGCGGUACUCAAACAGAAAGGGACGGCUAACUACGUGCCAGCAGCCGCGGUAAUUC